UACGGAGGGGGCUAGCGUUGCUCGGAAUUACUGGGCGUAAAGCGCACGUAGGCGGUGGUGCAUGUCAGAUGUGAAAGCCCUGGGCUUAACCUAGGAAUUGCAUUUGAAACUGCGCCGCUAGAGACCGGAAGAGGGUAGUGGAAUUCCCAGUGUAGAGGUGAAAUUCGUAGAUAUUGGGAAGAACACCAGUGGCGAAGGCGGCUACCUGGUCCGGUACUGACGCUGAGGUGCGAAAGCGUGGGGAGCAAACAGG
rnacentral:rRNA from 1 species